rnacentral:rRNA from 1 species
GAUGAACGUUGGCGGCGUGCCUAAUACAUGCAAGUCGAACGAAGACUGUAGUAAUACUGUCUUAGUGGCGAACGGGUGAGUAACGCGUGGGUGACCUGCCCCGAAGUGUGGGAUAACAGUCCGAAAGGAUUGCUAAUACUGCAUAAUAUCCAAGAGAUUAGACGCUUUUGGAUUAAAGGAGUAAUUCGCUUCGGGAGGGGCCCGCGUCCCAUCAGCUAGUUGGUAAGGUAACGGCUUACCAAGGCGAUGACGGGUAGGGGACCUGAGAGGGUGGCCCCCCACAAUGGAACUGAAACACGGUCCAUACACCUACGGGUGGCAGCAGUAGGGAAUAUUAGUAAUGGGCGAAAGCCUGAACUAGCAACGCCGCGUGUGCGAAGAAGGCCUUCGGGUCGUAAAGCACUUUUUGAGAGGAUGAGGAAGGACGGUACUCUCAGAAUAAGUCUCGGCUAACUACGUG